CAGAGUCCCCGUGCACUGCGAGGGGGGGAUGUGUUUAUGGCUGGAGGUUUUGGUUUGUUGACUGCAGGAAACGCUGCCACUGUGAACCCUUCAGUGUCGCAAUGGUCUGAUAAGCUGAAGGACACUGAAGUGGUUUAUCGUUUGUUAUCUGAUGAGGAGGUGAAAGGCUAGAUGAUAUUUCAAUGGAGAUGCUGAACUGCUCCUGUUGGACACCAUAUAAAAUAAGCUGCUGUAGUGUUUUACAAGCAGUAGUGCUUUACUAUAAUGGCUUUAAAGCUUGUAGUAACUUGCUGUGACCUUCGUUGUCCUCCAGAAUAAAUACUAUACAUCAAUGGAGGCCACGUAGGCUCUGCAUUUUGCCAGCAGUGUCUGCGAUAGGUGUCAGUGUGCUGCAAGUCCGUGUGUCCAGCAGGUCUCCCUGGGAGGGAGGAAUUGCUUUAUAAAGCAGGGAGCAGUGAAUAGGUUGAUGUGGCAGAAGCCGUGUGAUAAUACCAAAGAAAAACUUCCUUCUGCAGGAAUGCCCUAACUGUGUCAGUCCCCAGCCGUGCCACGUGUGCCAGCUGGGCUCCUGCCAGACUUCUUGCUCGCUCUGGGCUGCCGCAUCCAGGAUGGUUUUGGCAGCGAGGUGGAAAAGUGGAAACCCACACCAGGGACAAAUUUCCCAGGAAGCAGAGGGUUUUCAGCCUGAAAGAAGAAUUACCCUGAGCUGCUUCUGUGCUUUCCAGGGGUGGGCUCUGUGGAGCAGACCCAGUUUCGCUACGAGGAGUUGGGCUCAUGGAGGGGAGAUGGUUGUGAGUCAGCAGCGGGGAGGUGGGGGAGCAACAGGGCUGACCUGCUGCCUGACCAGAACUUGUCUUCUCUGGUUUAUCCAGAAGAGGGGAAACACAGGGAGAGGUGGAGGCUCCUAUCCUUCCUGCGGUGCAUUUCUUGGAGCCGGAGGAGCCGGAGAAAAGCUCAUGAAGCAAAAGAUGCAAACAAUGUUCAUGAAGAUGACCGGCAGGACCCCGAGGAAGAAGUGGCUCUGACCAGCCUGUCUCCCAAUGGAAACUGUGAAGAAGCUGCUGGACGCACGGGCACCUAGAGCUGCUGGGCGCCCAGCAAAGUCCGUUUCCUGGUUCUGCCUGGUGAAUUUGGAGCCGUGGGAGGGGGAGCUGGUGUGUGUACACUCCCCCUCUCCUCUGAGGACCCACUGCUCUGGGGAGAAGCUGCUCGGUUUAACUUGCCAGGGUCUUCUGUAGCUGCCAACGACCUCUGAGGUCCAUGCCAGAGAGCCAUCCCCUGCUGCACCCUGCUACCCGGGGGUGCCUGGAGCUGCUGAUGGACACUGGACUUCUGGGAAGCCCUUUGGGGAUGUGUCUCAUGUCCUGGGCGAGAUGAUGCGGGGACUUUGGGUGUGAAAUGUAGUCACCUGUUCGAAGAAAGAUGAACACUUUCUAAUUCUGAGCAAAGCUCCCUGCUGAGAUUGCCAGGGCUGGCCUCCCUGGCAAACAGAUUCUGCUGCCUUGUUUUCCUGUUACAUUGCUGCUUUGAAGUUCCCACCGUCUCUCUGAUAAGGCAAAAGAAAAAAAAAAAGAAAGACAAAUAAUAAGCAGUGGCAUGGAGACUGCAAUGGGACUAAAUAGGAGCUCUCAGUUCUACUGGCUACUGAAAAGGCUUGAAUGUAACUGUGUAAUGUGAAGAAAUGCAAUAACAGCCCACUGUUGGGUAGCAAGAACAAUGCAAAAGAUACUGAUAGUAAUGGCAGCUGGAGCAGAGUGUGAUUUGGGAGCAGAAUCCAUCCCUCUGGCUUAUCCUGGUGCUCAUAGUCUGACUGAUGGACCGUCUGGGUUAGAAGGGGUGGCAGACAGACACUAUGGUGUGGCUGAUGCUAGAUGGGGUUACGGGAAAGGCCCAUCUUACCUUGGGCAUCUCUGCAGUGAUGGUCUUGGAGGUGACCUGCAGCAUUCCUCUCAACCAGAUGUGGCUUCAUAAAUAAAUAUAAAAAUAUAAAAAUAAUCUGUUUAAGUAGUUCCAAAGGGCUGCCUGUAGCCUGUGGGGCAAUUACAAAUCCUUGGUUUAUGAGUAAUAUUAUUAUAAUGAUAGUAAUACUUUUUUUAUUUUUACUUUAAUGCAACAUAAAAGAGGUCUUGUUUUAUUUUUAGCACAAGCUGGGUUUUGUUUGGGACAGAAACUUUGUUUCAGGCCAGAAACUUCAGCCUGUCAUGUCCUGCCUACCUCUGCUCUGGGUCAGCUGCUGAAUUACGGCAAUAUGUUCUCCGUGCACGUCUGUCCUUUCUUUCGCUCCUUUUUUUUGCCAGUGGCAGCUGAACGGUCUGCAGUCCUGCCAGCUCUGGCCAGUGCUCUCUCCCAGCAGUGUGCCUUAAGUAUCUCUCUCGUUCUUACUUGGAGAUCAUGAUCUCAAAAUUUUUCAACAAACCAUUUUUCUGUGCCUCAGUUUCCCCAGCAGUAGGGUGGGGACAGCAAUACUUACCUACCUCACUUGAGUAAUGCUGGUAAUGCUGGAGCAGAGCUUAGCAGCUCUUGGGCUUAGAGUUGGUCCCUUUUGUGAUGGUGCUUUGCCCUUUUGGCUGGGAGAGAGUGGCUGAGGGUGUCCGGGCCAUGCUGGUGAGGUUGAGUGGGAGAGAUGGGGAGCAUUUCCAGGUGUGCUCAGCAAGUUUCUCUGUUACCAUGCUGCUCGUUUGAAUGUUACAGUAAUUAGACUUGCUCUAUGUAGGAAACUUCACCUGAAAUGCAGGCGUACGGUGCUCUUGUAGCUGCUCCAUAAGGCAGGAGGGAGGGAGUAGGUGGAUGCCAAGUCCCUGUGAGCAGCGUCUGGGGAAGCACACGUCCCACCUCUUCCCAGCAGAAACACUUUCCUGUGUGGGUGUGGGCUGGGGAGAGCGAACCUAGGAGAUAGCUGACAUUGGUGGAGCGUGUUGCUCAGCAGAGAAGGCACCAAAACCACUCUCCUUCCAGCCUCCAGGAUUUCUGUAGGUUUUUGUUGCUUCUGAUCAGGUGGAAAAUAUGAGUGUGGGUGGCUGUAGUCACGACCCUGGGGCUUCAGCACAGAGUAGUAAGUGCAUCUCAGUGAGAUGAAGGUAUCCUUCUGCUCUGUCCCUGGCAUGAGCGUGUAGGUCUGCUGUGCAGUGGAGUUAUAGAGUCAUAGAAUGUUUCGGAUCGGAAGUGACAUUAAAGAUCAUCGAGUUACAAGCCCCCUGCCAUGGGCAGGGACACCUCCCAGUAGACUUGCUGGAAGCCCCAUCCGGCCUGGCCUUGAGUCCCUCUGCUUGUCCUCACAGCAGAGCCCUGGUUGUUGGGCAGUUACAUACUUUCCUGGUAAAGCCCUUAGUUCGGUGAGUCCAGUAGGAUUUGAGAGUAUGAUCAGGUCAAUCUUUAUUUUCUUGCAGUAUUUGGCCUUUGCCACCUAGAAUUUACCCAUUGAAGAAGUGGCCCAAGAGUACAGAUUUUCAGUGAAACCUAUCUUAGUGCUACAAAUCCAAUGGAUUUAUUCACUGGUAAUUCUUAAGUAAAUCAUGCAAGUUUACCCUUGCAGUGAGACUUUUGUGGAAGUGGAUGAACUGCUUGGGGCUUAGGAGGUAUGAGUGGGAAUACAUCUGACCAGAAGUAUUGUUUUCCCAUGACUGAGGAAUAAAAGUGACUUGAAUUUAUUAUUAUUUUUUUCCUAGCUGGGCAUGCAGAGGUGCAGCAGACAGAAUGACAUGUUUAAUUGAUUUCAUAAUUUAAGGGCACGGUUAUCUUAUGUGCUUGCUGUAAAGAAUAAAGACAUUUAAUUUCUGAA